rnacentral:rRNA from 1 species
GACGUAGGGCGCGAGCGUUGUCCGGAUUUAUUGGGCGUAAAGAGCUUGUAGGCGGUUUGUCGCGUCUGCUGUGAAAUUUCGGGGCUCAACCCCGAACCUUGCAGUGGGUACGGGCAGACUAGAGUGUGGUAGGGGAGACUGGAAUUCCUGGGUGUAGCGGUGAAAUGCGCAGAUAUCAGGAGGAACACCGAUGGCGAAGGCAGGUCUCUGGGCCAGCUACUGACGCUGAGAAGCGAAAGCAUGGGGAGCGAAGCAGG